GCAACCCUUAUCCUUUGUUGCCAGCGAGUAAUGUCGGGAACUCAAAGGAGACUGCCGGUGAUAAACCGGAGGAAGGUGGGGAUGACGUCAAGUCAUCAUGGCCCUUACGAGUAGGGCUACACACGUGCUACAAUGGCAGAUACAAAGUGAAGCGAACUCGCGAGAGCAAGCGGACCACAUAAAGUCUGUCGUAGUCCGGAUUGGAGUCUGCAACUCGACUCCAUGAAGUCGGAAUCGCUAGUAAUCGUAGAUCAGAAUGCUACGGUGAAUACGUUCCCGGGCCUUGUACACACCGCCCGUCACACCAUGGGAGUGGGUUGCAAAAGAAGUAGGUAGCUUAACCUUCGGGAGGGCGCUUACCACUUUGUGAUUCAUGACUGGGGUGAAGUCGUAACAAGGUAACCGUAGGGGAACCUGCGGUUGGAUCACCUCCU
rnacentral:rRNA from 1 species